AUUGAACGCUGGCGGCAGGCUUAACACAUGCAAGUCGAGCGGGGUGAUGGUGCUUGCACUAUCACUUAGCGGCGGACGGGUGAGUAAUGCUUAGGAAUCUGCCUAUUAGUGGGGGACAACAUCUCGAAAGGGAUGCUAAUACCGCAUACGUCCUACGGGAGAAAGCAGGGGAUCACUUGUGACCUUGCGCUAAUAGAUGAGCCUAAGUCGGAUUAGCUAGUUGGUGGGGUAAAGGCCUACCAAGGCGACGAUCUGUAGCGGGUCUGAGAGGAUGAUCCGCCACACUGGGACGGCGACACGGCCCAGACUCCUACGGGGGGCAGCAGUGGGGAAUAUUGGACAAUGGGGGGAACCCUGAUCCAGCCAUGCCGCGUGUGUGAAGAAGGCCUUAUGGUUGUAAAGCACUUUAAGCGAGGAGGAGGCUCUUUUGGUUAAUACCCAAGAUGAGUGGACGUUACUCGCAGAAUAAGCACCGGCUAACUCUGUGCCAGCAGCCGCAGUAA
rnacentral:rRNA from 1 species